rnacentral:lncRNA from 1 species
UACGAGAGAACUGAAACUUAACCCAUGAUUCAUAUGGGCCAAGUGAUCAGCACAAACCUUACUUUUUCCUUUUGGGUUGACGUGAUCAGCUCAAACUUGAAAUACGAUUGCCUCAUAUGGUUCAACAACAAUCUGCAAGAGUGUGAUAAUAUUUCCAGCCCUCCCUUAUAUUCUCACAAACUUUAUAUUUUCAAUAAAACUUAUAAACAUGCCAGUUACUAAUUCAUAAACGCACAUGGUGACACAUGGUGAAAAUAGCAGCACGCAUUCAUAAUUACAAUCUUAUCGUCAAUUCAUAAAUAAGGUACAAGUCGAAAUUCAUAACUAUAAUUUGAUUUGAUAUGUACAAAAAUCUAAUUGAUGAAUUGACAUCUCAUUCUAUCUCAUCCAUAAAUCCAAAUUGAGUAAGUUGCGUCGUGCAUAUGCAAAUUAUGCAAUUGCCAAUUGCUGCUCCAAAUUAAUAUAAAGUGAUAAAUAUCCUCAUCCUCUUCUUCACCUUCAUUCAUAAUUAACCACUUGCAUUGUUUUGUAACCCAUUAUUUAAUAUCCUCUAUUUCUUUAGAGACAAUGUUUUCUUCAGCUUAUUCUCCUUCCUCUGCCAGCUUGAAGAAGAGAAAGAGAGAUAGCAAGGCCAAGGCUGGUCAGCAGAAACGUCUGAAUGAGGAAAGUGAACGUCUAGUGAGAAAGAUCACUGAGGGCUAUGAAGUUUAUGAGGCUAUGAACAAACGUCGUCGUACCAUGGAGUUAGCGAACAGUUUUUUGAGGGCUGAAAAAAUGAAACUCCUUGGGUAUUUGAACGACAUCCACUUGUUUAUCUGCAAGUUUCAAGAAACUGGUGUUGAUGGCAAUCCCCUUCCAAAACCUCCACUGUCUAUGCUUGAUUAAUAUGUUCUCCUUGUCUUAGUUAAGUUUAAUUAAUGUAUAUUAUGUUAUUAAUUGGUUUAGUGUAUGUGAUGUUUGUGUCGCUUACCUAGGACUAGGAGUGCUUAACAAUGAACAAUGGUGAUGUUUGAUUCUUUUUGUUACGGUCGUUUUGUUUCUUAUAUAAUUUGUCAUUGCAAAAGCUGUUCCUUUUUUAUUUAUUUACUUUGACAAGGGUUGCAAUUGCAAACUAGUAAAGUUGGACUUGUAUUGUGCGAUCCGUUUACAAAAUGCAAUUCCAUCUUGAAGGUUCAACAAAAA